rnacentral:rRNA from 1 species
GGAUGAAUAUUGGUCAAUGGUCGCUAGACUGAACCAGCCAAGUAGCGCGCGGGAUGAAGGCCCUCCGGGUCGUAAACCGCUUUUAGACGGGGAUAAAAGGGCGUACGUGUACGCCGUAUUGCAUGUACCGUCAGAAAAACGGACCGGCUAAUUCCGUGCCAGCAGCCGCGGUAAUACGGAAGGUCCGGGCGUUAUCCGGAUUUAUUGGGUUUAAAGGGAGCGUAGGCGGACUUUCAAGUCAGUGGUAAAAUCGUGUGGCUCAACCAUACCUCGCCAUUGAAACUGGAAGUCUGGAGUGCACACAGGGGUGCCGGAAUUCAUGGUGUAGCGGUGAAAUGCUUAGAUAUCAUGAAGAACUCCGAUCGCGAAGGCAAGUGCCCGGGGUGCAACUGACGCUGAGGCUCGAAGGUGCGGGUAUCGAACAGGAUUAGAUACC